rnacentral:lncRNA from 1 species
UACUGUUAAGCUGGAUCAUCUCGUCCUUGUCUGAGAACAUCCUACCAUCUGUGGUAGGAAUGGCGUCGUCAAGUGCCAUCUGGAAAUCCCUGGAGACCGCGUAUGGACGCCCAUCGGAAUCUCGGAUCAUUCAACUGCAAAUGCAGUUUCACAAUCUGAGAAAGGUUGACACGGACGACAUCUCGGCGUAUCUUCGACGUGCCAAGUUACUGGCAGAUGAGCUAAAAGCCGCGGGCGCACCCAUUCCGACAAG